rnacentral:rRNA from 1 species
CCUACGGGAGGCAGCAGUGAGGAAUAUUGGUCAAUGGACGAGAGUCUGAACCAGCCAAGUAGCGUUAAGGAUGACUGCCCUAUGGGUUGUAAACUUCUUUUAUAUGGGAAUAAAACAGGGUAUGCAUACCCUCUUGUAUGUACCAUAUGAAUAAGGAUCGGCUAACUCCGUGCCAGCAGCCGCGGUAAUACGGAGGAUCCGAGCGUUAUCCGGAUUUAUUGGGUUUAAAGGGAGCGUAGGUGGAUUGUUAAGUCAGUUGUGAAAGUUUGCGGCUCAACCGUAAAAUUGCAGUUGAAACUGGCAGUCGUGAGUACAGUAUAGGUGGGCGGAAUUCGUGGUGUAGCGGUGAAAUGCUUAGAUAUCAAGAAGAACUCCGAUUGCGAAGGCAGCUCACUGGACUGCAACUGACACUGAUGCUCGAAAGUGUGGGUAUCAAACAGGAUUAGAUACCCGUGUAGUC